rnacentral:rRNA from 1 species
AGUGAACGCUGGCGGUAGGCCUAACACAUGCAAGUCGAACGGCAGCACAGUAAGAGCUUGCUCUUACGGGUGGCGAGUGGCGGACGGGUGAGGAAUACAUCGGAAUCUACUUUUUCGUGGGGGAUAACGUAGGGAAACUUACGCUAAUACCGCAUACGACCUACGGGUGAAAGCAGGGGGUCUUCGGACCUUGCGCGAUUGAAUGAGCCGAUGUCGGAUUAGCUAGUUGGCGGGGUAAAGGCCCACCAAGGCGACGAUCCGUAGCUGGUCUGAGAGGAUGAUCAGCCACACUGGAACUGAGACACGGUCCAGACUCCUACGGGAGGCAGCAGUGGGGAAUAUUGGACAAUGGGCGCAAGCCUGAUCCAGCCAUACCGCGUGGGUGAAGAAGGCCUUCGGGUUGUAAAGCCCUUUUGUUGGGAAAGAAAAGCAGCAGGUUAAUACCCCGCUGUUCGGACGGUACCCAAAGAAUAAGCACCGGCUAACUUCGU